GACGAACGCUGGCGGCGUGCUUAACACAUGCAAGUCGUACGACAGCAUUCCUUUUGGGGGUGUUUGGAGUGGCGAACGGGUGAGUAACACGUGAGUAACCUGCCCUCUUCUUUUGGAUAACGUGCGGAAACGUGCGCUAAUACUGAAUAUUCUUAUUCUGCUGCAUGGUGGGGUGGGGAAAGGACUGUGGGGUCUUUAGGGGCUUUGUGGUUUGGUGGGGAUGGGCUCGCGGCCUAUCAGCUUUGUUGGUGGGGUGAUGGCCUACCAAGGCGU
rnacentral:rRNA from 1 species